CGAACGAAUCUUCGGACUUAGUGGCGCACGGGUGCGUAACGCGUGGGAAUCUACCCUUAGGUUCGGAAUAACUCAGAGAAAUUUGAGCUAAUACCGGAUAAUGUCUUCGGACCAAAGAUUUAUCGCCUUUGGAUGAGCCCGCGUUAGAUUAGGUAGUUGGUAGGGUAAAAGCCUACCAAGCCGACGAUCUAUAGCUGGUCUGAGAGGAUGAUCAGCCACACUGGGACUGAGACACGGCCCAGACUCCUACGGGAGGCAGCAGUAGGGAAUAUUGGGCAAUGGACGAGAGUCUGACCCAGCCAUGCCGCGUGCCGGAUGAAGGCCCUCAGGGUCGUAAACGGCUUUUGCUAGGGAAGAAGGUCCCCAUGCGUGGGGAGGUGACGGUACCUAGAGAAGAAGCACCGGCUAACUCCGUGCCAGCAGCCGCGGUAAUACGGAGGGUGCGAGCGU
rnacentral:rRNA from 1 species